rnacentral:rRNA from 1 species
CCUGCAUGAAGUCGGAAUUGCUAGUAAUCGCGGAUCAGCAUGCCGCGGUGAAUACGUUCCCGGGCCUUGUACACACCGCCCGUCACACCAUGGGAGCCGGUAAUACCCGAAGUCAGUAGUCCAACCUCGUGAGGACGCUGCCGAAGGUAGGAUUGGCGACUGGGGUGAAGUCGUAACAAGGUAAC